AUUAUUUUCUUUUCACUUUAUUUCUAAAGCAGCUUGACCGCGACAUGUGUGCUUAAUUUUCUCUUUUCUUUUAUUCUGCUUAAUGCAAAACGACGCCGUUUACAUCAGCCCCUCUCUUCCUUCUCUUCCCCGCCUAUUAUUGUUGACCCACUUUUUCCCUCUUCAACGUCGGCCACCGUCUCGCUCCAUCCACAGGCGCAGGUUUCGAGGGACUCCAAUCCUUUCAAGCCUUCUCAACAUCCUUAUCCUCUUCCGCACAAAGCCAGCACAAAUUGCUGACUUCGGUCGGCAGAUGCAUCCGCUUUAUGACCACCGCGCCGCCGCCUUGUUCGAUGCUCCCACCGCCGCCGCUUGGUUUUAUGCUCGCCGUUCCUUCAAUCGAUGCCCGCCACCAACGCCUGCUCCGCCGCGACGCCGCUUGGUUCGAUGCUCGCCGUCCCUUCAAUCGAUGCCCCCCACCAACGCCUGCUCCGCCGCCGGCCGCCGCCGCUUGGUUCGAUACUCCGCUUGGUUCGAUGCUCGUGCUCGCUUCAAUCAAUUCCCAAUGUCACUGCCACCGACUGCAGCUAAUCUUGUCCCACUGUCCAACUUUACUUCCACCUCAAUUCUCCACCAAUUGCACUUCACCCUUUUUCGUGCACAUCUAAAACCUCAAUUUCCUCCCGCUGGCUCCCCUGUACCAUCGUCUUCACAAAAUUGUCCUCACCCCACACGAUUUCCCCUCACCCCUCAUCCCACACGAUUUGUUCAGCGCCUGAGCCCAGGAUCCAUUUGCAUAAAAAUUUUCGUCGUCGGCGUUUGUUGCUGGUCCAGGUUUGUAGGCUGCUCUAUUAUAAAUUACGAAAAUUAUUUAUUCAGUUAGUAACACCAAAUUAUAUUCACAGUUUGAAAAAGGGCAGCAAUUUUUUUGUCUUUUUACCUUCCCGCGUCGCUGCUGCAUUCAAUCUGUUUUGCAUCUUAUUUAUUCAUACCUCACCUUCAUUCUUUUCAGAAUUCAACCAAUCUUCUGCAUUGUGCUGUUUGUGAUUCCAGUAAACUAUGUAGAUUAAGUUUUUUAUUUGAUUAUGAAAUAAUAUGUUAUUACUGUCUAUUUUAUGACUUGUCUAUUUCUCCCUUUUUCUUCUACAAUUUCCAUGUCAAUAUUUUGGCAAUUGUCAGUGAUAUUUUAUCAUUGAUGUAUAGUUUGUAGCUAUUUGUGACCGAGUUCUCCGCCCGUGAUUUAGUUCAACGAAGAAGGAUUUUCCUUAUAUUAUGUUUUUGCUGGAGCCCCAAAUUCUUUGAACUGCUUACUCGUUUGAAUGUCUAGCAUUGUCAUUCGCAGUCAAGAGGUAAUAUAUUUAUUUUCUUCUGAACGAGUUAUUACAUUUUUGGUUUCCACCGCGAAUUACCUGCUAAAUUUAUUCCUCGUGCAUAGCAAGUUCACCUGCAUCCUGCAUUUGAUUAUUUUUAAUUAUCCGAUCCAUCAAAUUUUGCGGUGUUUGUUUAUAUCUUCAUCAUGCUUCUGUUCUUCAUAAUAUGCUUUAGUAAUUGUUUUUUAAAUAGUAGUUUACUAUCUUUCUGAAACUUGGACCGCCCGGCUUGCUGUGUAUUUGUGUCAUCCUGCACCUUUCUAAUAUGUGCCCACCAUUGCCAGUUUGUAUCGUUCCAAAUUUCUUUGUCCAUUUAUUUGGGCUAUCCUGAAAUUUUUUUCUCGUCUUGUUUUAAUGUUGCUUGACUGUGUUUUAUGGUUUGUAGCAUCUACUAUUACUAUGAGUGUUCCAGACAAAAGAGCAGCGCAUAAUGAGAAAGAUCGUGCACGCUAUGCAGCCAUGAGUGCGGACACGAAAUCCGCCUUACUUCUCAAGCAAUGUAACCGCACGGCUGCGCUUCGUGCAAAAUGACUUCACAGUUUUGAGGACAGCCAUGGACUCCUCUUUGAAUGUUUCUGGUAUAAUAUAUGUUUCUUCGCUUCUGUGGUUUAUCAUUACUUCUACGGGCCACCUCUAUCUACCCACAUACAAUUUCUUGCCAACAAAAGUAUUAUAUUGUUCCUGCCUUUUUUUUUUUUUCUCUGCCGAUAGUACAGUAAAGUAUUUAGGAAUUACGUGCUUCGUCGUGAAUUUGGAGCCGUAUCCUUCAGGUCAUAGAUCUUCAUAUACAAUAUGUGCAUAAACUUUUUUUAUGCCUUAUUUAGUAGGUGGUGCAGCAUUUUUAGAGAAUUACGAACAGACUGCGCGCGCGCUCAUGAAUCUAGAGGCGUUCCCUUCAGAUCAAUGACUUUCAGAUGCAGCAUGGCCUAAUAAUUUUUUUAAUUAUUUUUUCCUUCUCAUGUAAUUGUUGGUCAAGCAUAUUUAAAGAUUUAGGAGCACAGACCCCAUUAUCUGACAACAUUUUUACUUCUAUUAAGAAUACGAAAAAGAUACAUUCUAAAUUAGUUAUUAUUUUUCUUACCUCAAAAAUUGAAUAGGAUUUACCCUCUACGACCAUUUUACAGAAAACGGAUAUCUUUUUUUUUUUUUUUUCAUAUUCUUUUAUCAAUAAAUUUUUACUUAACCUUGUACCUGCAUACUGAAACUUUCUUGGCUAUCAGCUCUUGGAAGGUGACAACUUUCUUUGUCUAAAUAUUUCGGCCAUCUUUUCCUGUUCCAUAUUUUGAAUCUUAUGUAGCUUGCGUAUGCUGUCGUUUUUUUCUUUGCCUGGUAUGUGUGUGCUCUCCUUUUUCUGCAAUUUUUUGUCCCCUUCGUAUACUUGGACUCCUUACUAUAGCCCUUGAAGAAACGGAGUUUGACAUGGGACGAGAACUCGCAGGGCUAAUCGACAUGUUUUCGGUCCAGUGUAUUAAUCACAAUGUGGAGACUAUUCUUGAUCUCUCUGAUGAUAUGCCGAAGAUUGUUCGAGGAGAUUCCGGUAGAGUUCUUCAAAUCUUCGCGAAUUUGAUAAGCAAUUCUAUCAAAUUCACUACCUCUGGAUACAUUGUUCUGCGUGAAUAGUGCGAGACGGUACUGAACACCGAUAAUAAGAUGAAAUGGAAACGCAAGAAAGAUAACAAAAUGAUUAUUUGGUUUGAAGUCGAUGACACUGGUUGCGGGAUUGAUCCUAACAAAUGGGAAUCGGUAUUUGAAAGUUUCGAGCAGGCCGAUCCUUCAACAACUCGACUGCAUGGUGGAACUGGUCUAGGCCUGUGCAUUGUAUGAACGUUGGUAAGUUAAUACGAUUAAUUUUUUCUAAUUUAUUUAACGACACGAAAUUUUGAAAAAUUAUGCAUUGGUAAAUAGGGCAAUUCUCACUCCAAAAAAUGACACUGUUGAUUGGAUUAAUGACCUAUUAAUAGACCGAUUCGCGGGACAGGUUAAAGAGUAUAUUAGUUUUAAUAAAACAACCGAUCAAGUGCAGCAAGCAGAGUAUGAGGAUUAUCUCAAUGGUGUUUCAGCCAGCGGCCUACCUUCGCAUGUGUUACGUCUACAACAGCCGUUUAGACGAUUCAAAAGAUCUUCGCCUGAAACUAACACGCAAGAGAACGUCAAAGCAUAUAGAGCUCGAAAACAAGAGGCGUAAAAAGAUGGAACUACACGAGAAGGCAUCAGGAGCUACACCACCUUCUAGAAGGGCUGCUGAAACACAACCGAUAGGUUCAACGAUUAAAAAUUCUUAUGCUUCUUGGAAUUCAAAUGCAGCGAAAACGAGAUCCCCUGAAAGAAUUCGAAAUUUUCUGGUGGAUUUUCUAACAACCCCAUGAAUUCUAUUGGUCAACUGCCACAUGUACCAUCAAUUAGGCCGAUAGAUGCUUCAAGAGAAGAGCAUUUGUCGAUGAGGGAUGUCUUGGAAUCUUCUAGGCCUGAUUUACCUAUAUUCACCACUUCGAGAGGUUUUCUGGAUAAUGGCAAGAUGGUCACCGAUCUUCCUCCAGCAACAGGUGGCAUGUCCAGACCUAUUUACCCGGGUGAAAGCGAUAAGGCAACUACAACUUAGAAAAUUGAGGCGUGUGGCAAACAAGCAAAUGUGCAGCAAACCUCUGUAGCUGAAUUUAUGAUCUGCUUGUGGGGUCUCGUGUGCUGAUCAUAUCAAUAAGUUAACCUCAUUUUACGUAGUCUGGCCUUUGUGUGAGCAUCAUUAUUCAAUCACUCAACAAUUCGCGAGGGGGUGUUCUUCACGGGGCGCACAAAGCCGGACAAAUAUUUGCGGAUGAAGAAGAAAAUAUCUGAUUUAACACAGGAAAAAUUUAUCGUCGUCCUCAUCUUCCACCUCCAAUCUUUUUAAAUCCCACAGUUACUUUCUCAUGUUGCUUUAUGCAGAUAAUAAUUAAUUUCAGUUCUUAUGGUUUCAGAGCGCAUUUUCCGUAAGCAUGAUGCUCUUUUGUUUUUACUGCAUGCCACACAUUCAAUUAAAAGCAGGCAAUUAAUAGCUUCAAGCAAUAGCACCGUGAAAGAAUGAGCCCUAAAAUGGAGAAAAUUGACAUUCAUUAUCAGGGUCAUCCAUAAUGCCUCCUUAAUGCAUCAUUCUAAACUUACAUUGCCAGCUCAAGGCGUGGUAAGGGCAGGGAGUUGAAGCUAUAGAGGGAGCGUGUCUGCUUGGAUUGCAUUUGUGGGCCCGAUCGGGCACCUGACUGCCGCCAAUUCUUUGCCCCGUCUGGAUGCUUUGUAGGUCAUCCUCUCGUGGAAGAUAUCUCUAGAAUGCACAACGGUGUAGGCGGCUCAAAUAGGUAAUAGAUUGAGCCACGAUGUUGACAAGUUUGUAGAGCCAACCGAUGCAUACAGUGAUUUGUUCGACAACCUGAAUUGUGUGGAAAUAGCUAAUUAGGAAAACAGGGACUUCUUUCAAUGAUAUUUCGAGUCUCUCUCCAAGGCCAUGCACAAGCUAAAAUUCCUCUGAAAAGGCGCACAAAGAUUUUGCUUGUGCACUCAAAGGUAAGUGCUUGUGAAAUAGAUAGAUAGAUAGAUUGAUAGAGAUAGUGUUAACUGUAGCAGAUGAAGAAAACCCAAAAUUUAUCAAUUAUGUGGUGUUGAUGAGGCGGUGAAUAAAACAUGUUUAUUGUAUAUUUUUGUUUUUUUCUUACGAUUUAUUUUGGUUCGUUUAGGUUUUCGUAUCUGUUUUGCUUAUUUGAAUUUGGAUUCUUUGCUUAUGGCUUCCAAAGGUUGAGUCGUGGUGCAGGUGACUCUCUUCUAUUUUCCUGUAAUUUUCUCUUUUUUGUGUUCACCCAAUCUAAUUUUAUUACUUUCUUCAUUCGCAACCAUUGUUUCCUUUGUUUUCUUUUUCUUCGUGUUUUCUAUGUUCAAUUACAGGUUAGCCCUUUUUUGGUGUUUCGGCUUCGGUUUGCUGUUGCUCUCUCUGUUCGUAUACAGGUUUGCCGCUUGUUCAAGAAUUAUAUUGAUGUCUUCCAGGGAAGUUUACUUCUUAUAGCUGAUUUUAUUCGGCCGAGUGAAUUCUCAGCUGGAGUUGAGUUCGUCCACAUCUGUAGACGGUGCCACUCUGACGAGUAGCUUUGCGCUUCCGACGACUUCGUUUGACGUUGGACUUCAUUUGUAUUUUUUCCUUACGAUUUACUUCUUGUACAUUAUCCUUCAAAAUUUUCGCUCCCUCUCUCCACCACCUCCUUAUUUCCCGGCCUCCGUCGACUGGACACACGAGGCAUAAAUUCCGGCGGUUUUCGAUUUGUGUUCUCAUAUUUUCCAAUUUUCUCUGCGCAUAUUGGUGCUUUAGGGAAGUGGAUGAAUCGCUGCUCGAUCUCAAAAGGCCUUCCCUAUUUCCUUCUAUGAUUGUUUGUUUUGUUGAGGAAUGCGGAUGAAAUCGCUGCUCGAUCGCAAAAAGCCCUCCCUCUCUUCUAUGAAUAUUUGUUUUCGUAGUUGGGGCUAUUAGGUCUUUAAUUUAAGCAACCUGGAUCGUAUAAUUGCAUUUUCAGAACUUUUGAAUGCAACAAAAUCGGGUGAGGAAUCACACGUUCACCUCAUAUUCAUUCUUUGUUUUCCCAUUUAUUACUUUCUUCUUGUUUUUCAAUUUCCUAUAUAUCAGAUUACAAGAAGAUUUCAAGCACUUGAAGGUAUUCACAGCUUUAUGUAUGUCGACACUUGUAAUCCGAUCUUUCUCGUAUUUUCAUACCUCUUGGUAAAAUUGAAAACCAAAAAUUUGAUUGUAUGUCGCAUAAUUUUUUCAA